CUAUGAAGAAUGGAGUCUGUUCCUGGUGGGCAAAGGAGAAGAACUGGUUCUUAGAGAAGCACCUAAGACAGAGUAGAACAGAGGCUGGGAGAGAUCUAGGUUGAUGACUGUCAGACUGGGGCCCUGACUCAAAGGGGCAGAGAAGGUGCUGGGGUUAUGGAGAAGUGGCCCAGGGAAGUAGACAGUAGAGGAGAGCUGGAGGAGGGCAGUAAGUGGCUGCCGCUAGAGGGUCACUGGGUCAGGGCCCGGAGUAGCAGGUGGGUCUGGCACCCUCCCCCCGCACUUGCCAGUGAUGAGUGACUAAGCCAGACUGCAGUUUGCCCUUGGAGGAAGGGGCUAGACUGAGGACUGCAAUGAGCUACUGAAAGUUCCUAUGUGACGCUGGACAAGUCAUUUCCACUAAAACUUUUCACAGGCCUUGGCGGAGUGAGGGUUUUCAUUGAGAAGAAAAAUCAUAAAUGCCUGUCCCCAUGCAAGCACAUCUCAGGAAACCUACCUGGGAAGGAAGUAUGGAUUUCCAUAGGGGUAAGCUGUCAUCUCCCCACCCCAGCUCAUUAGAGGCAGGAUGUAUCCUCUGGAAUCUCAUCUAAUGAGUAUUAUAGCAGUCCAUGCUUGUGAAAAGGAGGAAAGGCUUCUGACAGAUUCAAACUUUGGCUACAGAGAGCCACUCUUUUAUUCAUUUAGGAAGUGGGCUGAAGGA